rnacentral:rRNA from 1 species
ACGAACGCUGGCGGCGUGCUUAACACAUGCCAGUCGAACGGAAAGGCCCUGCUUUUGUGGGGUGCUCGAGUGGCGAACGGGUGAGUAACACGUGAGUAACCUGCCCUUGACUUUGGGAUAACUUCAGGAAACUGGGGCUAAUACCGGAUAGGAGCUCCUGCUGCAUGGUGGGGGUUGGAAAGUUUCGGCGGUUGGGGAUGGACUCGCGGUUUAUCAGCUUGUUGGUGGGGUAGUGGCUUACCAAGGCUUUGACGGGUAGCCGGCCUGAGAGGGUGACCGGCCACAUUGGGACUGAGAUACGGCCCAGACUCCUACGGGAGGCAGCAGUGGGGAAUAUUGCACAAUGGGCGGAAGCCUGAUGCAGCAACGCCGCGUGCGGGAUGACGGCCUUCGGGUUGUAAACCGCUUUCGCCUGUGACGAAGCGUGAGUGACGGUAAUGGGUAAAGAAGCACCGGCUAACUACGUG